rnacentral:rRNA from 1 species
CCUACGGGUGGCAGCAGUGAGGAAUAUUGGUCAAUGGACGAGAGUCUGAACCAGCCAAGUAGCGUGAAGGAUGACUGCCCUAUGGGUUGUAAACUUCUUUUAUAUGGGAAUAAACUGUUCCACGUGUGGGAUUUUGUAUGUACCAUAUGAAUAAGGAUCGGCUAACUCCGUGCCAGCAGCCGCGGUAAUACGGAGGAUCCGAGCGUUAUCCGGAUUUAUUGGGUUUAAAGGGAGCGUAGGUGGAUUGUUAAGUCAGUUGUGAAAGUUUGCGGCUCAACCGUAAAAUUGCAGUUGAUACUGGCAGUCUUGAGUACAGUAGAGGUAGGCGGAAUUCGUGGUGUAGCGGUGAAAUGCUUAGAUAUCACGAAGAACUCCGAUUGCGAAGGCAGUUCACUGGACUGCAACUGACACUGAGGCUCGAAAGUGUGGGUAUCAAACAGGAUUAGAUACCCGUGUAGUC